GUAAGUACUGUUUUCUAAUAUGAAUUUACAACCCACUUUAACAAUGAGUAGAUUUCCGUUUAAAUUGCACGUUUCAUUUGUUGUUCCAAUUACCGAUUAUUUGCAACGCAUUCACCAACAUGUAGCAAUUAUACGUUCAUGUAUUUAUUAUCAACAAGAUGGACAAUCAGUGUAAAUGUGAAAACUUUUUUUGUUUCAAUUACCGAUUAUUUGCAACGCAUUUACCAACAUGUGGCAAUUAUACGUUAAUGUAUUUAUUAUCUCCAAGAUGGACAAUCAGCGUAAAUGUGAAAACUUUUUUGGUAAGAAACGUCACUUAUCCAGUAAUUACUUACAUUACUAACGGCAGCGUUUAAAUUGCACGUUUCAUUUUUAGUUCCAAUUACCGAUUAUUUGCAACGCAUUUACCAACAUGUGGCAAUUAUACUGCAACAGCAACAUGUGGUUCAUAUAUUUAUUAUCACCAAGAUGGACAAUCGUAAAUUUGAAAACUUUUUUUGAUUGUGUGAAGCCGGAAAACUUUCACGUCGAACUUCUGGUUUGGUUAUUGCAGGCAACAUUACAAUAUUAGUCCGGACUUAAAAUAGCGAUUAGACACUUAAUCGAAUUUGGUAGAGUUUCCUGUAAAACGAAUGUUUUAUUUGGAGAACUCAUUAGAAAUGGUUUCCAAGCGCGUCCGCCAAAUGUGCCAAUCCGACGUUCAUGUAUCUAUCAUACGGAUAAUACUAGCAUUGCCAAUUUGGAAACUUUGGUUAUCCAGUAACUACUUAUAUUCCCAAAGGAAGCGUUUUCAUUCAGAUUGAGUGAAGCUCGAAAAACAUUCACGUCGCACACCUGGUCGUCUAUUGUAGCCGUCACGCCAAUCUUAGUAUAAGACGCUGUGAUCAUCCGAACAGAUUGAGCAAAGGACGAAAAAUAUUCACGUCGAUCACCUGGUCGUCUAUUGCAGCUAACAGACUAAUCUUGGUGCGGACUAAACCAUAUCGAUUAGACACUGUAAUUAUCUGAAUCGAUUGAUUGAAGCAAGAAAAACAUCUACGUCCUGAACCUGGUUGUCUAUUGCAGCUAACAGGCCAAUCUUGGUGCGGACUAAACCAUAUCGAUUUGAAGCUGUAAUCAUCUGAAUCAGUAUGUUUUUAACUUUUCUUUUUUGCUGUAUCCUAUUGUUGAAAUGGUUUUUGCUUGCCAAGGAACUCUGCAAUUUUAUCACUUAUUAACUUUUUUGUGUGUAAUGUUUAUGGUUACGUUUUAACAUCGUUAUCCGCAUAUUGGUUUAUGAUUUA